GCUUCUAUAGUAUAGUC
rnacentral:miRNA from 1 species